rnacentral:lncRNA from 12 species
AGAGAGAACCGAUUGGACCAAGUGGUAAAACAGAGGUCUACUGGAUACCUGCGGAUGCGACUGCAUGAAUGUGACUAACCUGGUAAUAAAUCAUAUAUCCAACUUGAAGGUCUUCCGCGUAUACUAUCCAAUAAAAAUGUUAGUUACGUUCCAAAUGUAAGAGCAGGGUCCUCAGCAACAAAAGAAAACAAAGACAAUAAAACAGAACGUGAACCCCUGUCCAAGGAGGAGUUACUACGAUUUCCGGAGGACGAACGUUUCUUAUACCUUAAUGGUAUCGCCAACAAAGUGUUAGUGAAUCAACAAAAAAUCCUGAAAAGUAGUUCAUCUGGUCAGCCUUCAAAAUCCUUCGCCACUGUUUUGGCAGUCAGAAGUAUUCUUCCGUUUGAUGAAUACCCGAGACUGAAGAAAUGAUGUAUCAAAGAAGAUGAGUUUUAUGACAGAAUGAAAAGGUGGCAAAGACGGCCAUGAGAAUUUGCGUGGCAUGUUAAGCGAGGCGUUAACGAAUAAAUUGGCUCAGCAAUUUAAUUUUGCCGGACGUAGAGGGAAAUAUUCAUUCCAAGAUUUAGACAAAAUUUAUCAGAUGGCUUCUGAUAUAGCAGUCGAAUCGGAUCCUAAAUACACCUAUAAGGAUGCAAAAACAACAAUCGAAGCUUACUUAAAGCAAUCUACGAAAAGGAUAAAAGUUCCUUGGCAAAGCUCAACAAAGAAAGGGAACACCAAGAAAAGGCAAAACCGUAGCAACUAUAACUUGGAAUCAAGCACGCAGUAUGCAGUGGAGCACCUGAGACCCUCGGCCCGUAUUUCGCUCACUAAUGUUCUAACUUUUCAUUCACAUUCUCGCCAAUUUUCAAAUAUCGAUUCCUUGUAUCUUCUCUAUAACUUGAAUUGAAUAAAUUUUCAUUAAAUUUUA